AAUGCAGUUUGCCUUGCUUCUUGG
rnacentral:siRNA from 1 species